rnacentral:rRNA from 1 species
UACAGAGGGUGCGAGCGUUGUCCGGAAUCACUGGGCGUAAAGGGUGCGUAGGCGGGUCUUUAAGUCAGGGGUGAAAUCCUGGAGCUCAACUCCAGAACUGCCUUUGAUACUGAGGAUCUUGAGUUCGGGAGAGGUGAGUGGAACUGCGAGUGUAGAGGUGAAAUUCGUAGAUAUUCGCAAGAACACCAGUGGCGAAGGCGGCUCACUGGCCCGAUACUGACGCUGAUGCACGAAAGCGUGGGGAGCAAACAGG